GUUAAUGUAGCUUAAAUUUUUAAAAAGCAAGACACUGAAAAUGUCUAGAUGGGCCCUAUAGCCCCAUCAACA
rnacentral:tRNA from 1 species